ACAUGUUCAUGGGUACCUUGCUACAUGUUCAUGGGUACCUUGCUACAUGUUCAUGGGUACCUUGCUACGCCACUGCUUUGAACUAUUUCCAAAUGACAAUUAGAUCUCCAUGAUGUAUAUGAUAACUUCAUUGUUUGAAUUGCUAGGAGGUAUGUCAAAGUUUGUUUUGAAACAAAUAGAACAAUUGAAUAGAGUUCAUUAUCAGCUAUAUCAACAUGACUUAAGACUCAAGUGCACACACUUGUCAAGUCAUACAACAUGACUUGAAGACUUAGGUGCACACACUUGUCAAGUCAUACAACAUGACUUGAAGA